rnacentral:rRNA from 1 species
GAUGAACGCUGGCGGCGUGCCUAAUACAUGCAAGUAGAACGCUGAAGGAGGAGCUUGCUCUUCUGGAUGAGUUGCGAACGGGUGAGUAACGCGUAGGUAACCUGCCUGGUAGCGGGGGAUAACUAUUGGAAACGAUAGCUAAUACCGCAUGACAACAGUUAUUGCAUGAUAACUGUUUAAAAGGGGCAACUGCUCCACUACCAGAUGGACCUGCGUUGUAUUAGCUAGUUGGUGAGGUAACGGCUCACCAAGGCGACGAUACAUAGCCGACCUGAGAGGGUGAUCGGCCACACUGGGACUGAGACACGGCCCAGACUGCUACGGGAGGCAGCAGUAGGGAAUCUUCGGCAAUGGACGGAAGUCUGACCGAGCAACGCAGCGGGAGUGAAGAAGGGUUUCGGAUCGUAAAGCUCUGUUGUAAGAGAAGAACGAGUGUGAGAGUGGAAAGUUCACAAUGUGACGGUAUCUUACCAGAAAGAGACGGCUAACUACGUG